UACGUAGGGUGCGAGCGUUAAUCGGAAUUACUGGGCGUAAAGGGAGCGUAGGCGGGUUAUCAAGUUGGGGGUGAAAGCCCGGGGCUCAACCUCGGAAUUGCCUUCAAAACUGAUAGCCUAGAGUAUGAUAGAGGUAUGUGGAACUCCGAGUGUAGAGGUGAAAUUCGUAGAUAUUCGGAAGAACACCAGUGGCGAAGGCGACAUACUGGGUCAUGACUGACGCUGAGGCUCGAAAGCGUGGGGAGCAAACAGG
rnacentral:rRNA from 1 species